ensembl:lncRNA
CCUGCUCUCUGCCCUGAGCCUCUAUGUGAUCCCAGGAUGAGGACACCAGUGGAAGAUUUUAUUUUCAGGUUUAAAAGAAAUAAAUGGCUGUCACAACAAAAGAAUAAUCUCUGGAUUCUACAUUUACACAGUCCUUCAGGAUGACUUUGAAUUUGUUAUGGGCCUGUUAAGUGUGAUUAUCUAUGACAAUUUUUUUUGGUUCUUACUGAGGCUUUUAUUUUGUAUGUAGAAUCGCUGGGGUGGGGAUAUUCCCUGUGGCCACCCCUGAGAUUACACUGGGCUCCAGACACUAGCUUGGAAGUGAGAUGACAGAAACAAUGACCCAGCCAAUAAUGUUAUCACAAAGCUGGGGUUUUCAGCAGGGCGCCAGGUGGCCUAAGGAUCUGAUUGCACUUGGCCAAACGCUCGGCUCGGCAAGGGCACCAGUCUUGAUCUGCCCAGUACAGAGCCCCACCACCAGUUCGGCGAUGAAAGUGUCCUCCCUCUCCCCAGAUCAAUGGGACACCAUGACAUCCCAGCCAUUGGACUGAGCCAGCUUACAAGCCUGCAGAGACUCGAUCACAGAGCCAAUCUGGUUGGCUUUGAGCAGGAGGCAGUUGCAGGACUUCUCACUGACAGCCUUGGCAAUCCUCUUAAGGUUGAUUACUGUGAGAUCAUCCCUAACCACCUGGAUGCCAUCACUAGCUGUGAACUUCUGCCAGGUCUCCCAGUCGUCCUCGAUGGACACCACUAGAUACUCCCAGAUGAAGGACUUAUACAGGUCAGCCAGCUGGUCGGGUGUGAUGUACCUGCUGGGGUCAUCAGGAGACUUGAAGCCCAGGUCAUACUUACCAGACCUGAAGAACUCAGAGGCAGCCAUGUCCAUGUCAAUGACAACCUGGUCCGUGUAGCCCACCUUCCCAGUUGUGUUCUUCAGAAGCUCCAGAGCUUCUUUGUUUUCCAGGAUGUUGGGCGCAAACCCGCCCUCAUCACCCACAUUGGUGGCAUCCUUCCCUUAUUUCUCCUUGAUGACAUUCUUCAGGUUGUGGUAAACCUCUGUCCCAAUAAGCACGGCUUCGAAGAAGCUGGAAGCCCCCACGGGAAGGAUCAUGAACUCCUGCAAGGCCAGCUUGUUGCCAGCGUGGGAACCGCCAUUUAUCACGUUGAAAGCGAGGACUGGAAGAAUGACUUCAGAGUUGCCAGCCAAGUCAGCGAUAUGACGGUACAGGGGUUCCUACUUUCUUGUGGCACCAGCUUUGCAGACAGCCAGGGACACUCCCAGGAUGGCAUUUGCACCAAAUUUAGAUUUAUUCUAAGUGCUGUUCAUCUCAAUCAUCAGCUUGUCAAUCUUCCCUUGCUCCACAACGUUCAGUUUCUUGCUAACCAGAGCAGGUGCGAUAGUUUUAUCUAUGUGCCCAACAGCCUUUGAUACACCCUUCCCAGUGUAGCGAGUCUUAUCGUCGAAGAGUUCUAGGGCCUCGUAGAUGACAGUGGAGGCACCGCUGGGCACAGCAGCUCUGAAGAGACCUUUUGAGAUGUAGAGAUAAACUUUUCAAUAGUGGGGUUCCCACAGGAAUCAAAGAUCUCUCAGGCAUGGACAUUGAGAAUAGACAUUUUUCUGGCAGUCGGGUGGGCGAGCAGGGAAAAGAGGUUUCUAUAAACACCCUGGAGAGCAUUUAGGAUAGACAAGCAAGCGAUCUGGUUCCCGAGGCGAUCCAUUUAUGACAAUUUUUAAAAUUAAUAUAAGAGAAUAAAUAACUUCAGUGCUUGUAUAUCUGAAAAACUCAAAAAUGGACAAAUGUGAUAUCUUUUAUUCACUUGUUUUAAUAACUUUAAACUUAGACAAAUUAAUUAGCCUCUGCUGAACAAAAUAUAUGCAGUUUAUACACAGUGCUGUUUUUGUAUCUUCUGUCAUCUUUCUGCACUAACAACACAGCAGAUGAACAAUAAGUGGAGAUUAUAAAAGAACAUACACUUUGUUUUAGCUUGGGUUGUUUCGUUGUUGUUUAUUUUGCUGUGUUUGAUUUACCUUUCCUCCCACACAGCAAGCUCCAUCAUUAGUCUUUGGUUUUGGUGAUAACUACCGGACAAAACAUAUCCAUAUAUUUCCCUAGGACCAAUGAACAAGCUAAUUAAAUUAAUAGGUUAUAUAAGCUAGUUUAAUAUGUAUAUAUCUAUCUUCCAGUCAUAUAUAAAAGUAAUUGUGAUUAGAAUUCUCAUACAUGUUUUUAAUUGUACUCCUUCCAUAAAUUUCAACAAUUUCAGAACACAGACAAAUUGGUUAAGUGCUUUCUAAUAGUUCAAAGAAAACAAGUAGUAAUGAGCCUUCACAUCACGUUAUUUUGCCCUGGUGGGUGGGAGGGACUUCGAGAGCCCAUCCCACUUGAAGGGAUUUGCUCUGUCUCUGAAUACAUUUCUGAGUGUGCUUUUAAACACUGUUUCAGAUUAAAAAUAAAGACUAUCACUUAAAAUGAAUACACAAUAAACAAAAUACAGUCAUAGAAAAAAAUAUACUGUUUGGGGGUUAACAACUCUAACAAACAACAGUGGUUUAAUUCUUUCUG